CGUAGACGUUGAUGAAAGAAAAGAUGAGGGAAGCAAGGCUGAGAUGAUAUGGUCACGUAAUAAGAAGAGAUAGGUAGAAUUCAACCCCCCGACAACAUCAAGCCGUUAUUUCAUUUGCUCAGCGUGUUUGGAAUGAAGAGAUCAGAACUGAAGAUAUGGUGUGGUAGAUGUUACAGAGAAAAUGAGAGAAACAAGCUUGAGACGGUAUGAACAUGCAAUAAGUCGGGAUGAAUGAGAGGCAGUAAGAGACAUUAUAGAAUGAAAAUCAGUUGAAGAUGUGGGGUGGUAGACAUUGCAGAGAAGAUGAAGGAAGCAAGGAUGAGAUGCACAUGCAAUAAGAUUAAGAGAUGAAAGAGUGCUAGUCAAAGUUAUGGAAUGAAAAAAUAGAAGAUGAUGUGGGGUGGCAGAGCAAAGCCUGAGACGGUAUGAACAUGUAAUAAGACGAGACGAAUGAGAGCAAGUAAGAAAUAUUAUGGAAUGAAAAUAACAGAAGAAAAUGUGAAGUAGUAG